UCAUUACACAAAUAUGAAGGCGGGCUGGAACCUCUCGGGGUUACAGCCUUGCUGAAUUAUUCACCCUUGUCUUUUGCGUACUUCUUGUUUCCUUGGUGGGUUCGCCCACCACUAGGACAAACAUAAACCUUUUGUAAUUGCAAUCAGCGUCAGUAACAAAUUAAUAAUUACAACUUUCAACAACGGAUCUCUUGGUUCUGGCAUCGAUGAAGAACGCAGCGAAAUGCGAUAAGUAGUGUGAAUUGCAGAAUUCAGUGAAUCAUCGAAUCUUUGAACGCACAUUGCGCCCUUUGGUAUUCCAAAGGGCAUGCCUGUUCGAGCGUCAUUUGUACCCUCAAGCUUUGCUUGGUGUUGGGCGUCUUGUCUCUAGCUUUGCUGGAGACUCGCCUUAAAGUAAUUGGCAGCCGGCCUACUGGUUUCGGAGCGCAGCACAAGUCGCACUCUCUAUCAGCAAAGGUCUAGCAUCCAUUAAGCCUUUUUUUCAACUUUUGACCUC
rnacentral:misc_RNA from 2 species